UUGAACGCUGGCGGCAUGCCUUACACAUGCCAGUCGAACGGUAACGGGCCUUCGGGUGCCGACGAGUGGCGAACGGGUGAGUAAUACAUCGGAACGUGCCCGAUCGUGGGGGAUAACGAGGCGAAAGCUUUGCUAAUACCGCAUACGAUCUACGGAUGAAAGCAGGGGACCGCAAGGCCUUGCGCGGACGGAGCGGCCGAUGGCAGAUUAGGUAGUUGGUGGGAUAAAAGCUUACCAAGCCGACGAUCUGUAGCUGGUCUGAGAUGAUGAUCAGCCACACUGGGACUGAGACACGGCCCAGACUCCUACGGGAGGCAGCAGUGGGGAAUUUUGGACAAUGGGCGCAAGCCUGAUCCAGCCAUGCCGCGUGCAGGAUGAAGGCCUUCGGGUUGUAAACUGCUUUUGUACGGAACGAAAAGCCUUCUUUUAAUACAGGAGGGUCAUGACGGUACCGUAAGAAUAAGCACCGGCUAACUACGUG
rnacentral:rRNA from 1 species